GACGAACGCUGGCGGCGUGCCUAAUACAUGCAAGUAGAACGCUGAAGGAGGAGCUUGCUUCUCUGGAUGAGUUGCGAACGGGUGAGUAACGCGUAGGUAACCUGCCUUGUAGCGGGGGAUAACUAUUGGAAACGAUAGCUAAUACCGCAUAAUAGUAGAUGUUGCAUGACAUUUGCUUAAAAGGUGCAAUUGCAUCACUACCAGAUGGACCUGCGUUGUAUUAGCUAGUUGGUGGGGUAACGGCUCACCAAGGCGACGAUACAUAGCCGACCUGAGAGGGUGAUCCGCCACACUGGGACUGAGACACGGCCCAGACUCCUACGGGAGGAAGCAGUAGGGAGUCUUCGGCAAUGGACGGAAGUCUGACCGAGCAACGCCGCGUGAGUGAAGAAGGUUUUCGGAUCGUAAAGCUCUGUUGUAAGAGAAGAACGAGUGUGAGAGUGGAAAGUUCACACUGUGACGGUAUCUUACCAGAAAGGAACGGCUAACUACGUG
rnacentral:rRNA from 1 species